rnacentral:rRNA from 1 species
CAGCAUUCUGUAGCAAUACAGGGUGUGGGCGCGUGGCGAACGGGUGCGUAACACGUGGAUAACCUUCCUUGAGGUGGGGAAUAACCCAGUGAAAAUUGGGCUAAUACCGCAUAACAUCGCGAUGGCACAUGCUGUUGCGAUCAAAGGCGCAAGUCGCCACAAGAGGGAUCCGCGGCCGAUUAGCUUGUUGGCGAGGUAAUGGCUCACCAAGGCAAUGAUCGGUAGCCGGACUGAGAGGUUGGCCGGCCACACUGGAACUGAGACACGGUCCAGACUCCUACGGGAGGCAGCAGUGGGGAAUCUUGCACAAUGGACGAAAGUCUGAUGCAGCAACGCCGCGUGGGGGAUGAAGCUUCUCGGAGUGUAAACCCCUUUCGACCCGGAAGAAUGCCCGCAAGGGUAUGACGGUACGGGUAUAAGAAGCCCCGGCUAACUACGUGCCAGCAGCCGCGGUAAUACGUAGGGGGCCAGCGUUGCUCGGAAUUACUGGGCGUAAAGGGUCCGUAGGCGGUGUAGCAAGUCGAUAGUGAAGUCUCUGGGCUUAACCCAGAGGCUGCUAACGAAACUGCUGUGCUANAGUGUGAGAGAGGCGAGUGGAAUUACGGGUGUAGCGGUGAAAUGCGUAGAUAUCCGUAGGAACAUCCGAGGCGAAGGCGGCUCGCUGGAUCACAACUGACGCUGAGGGACGAAAGCUAGGGGAGCAAACAGGAUUAGAUACCCUGGUAGUCCUAGCCCUAAACCAUCAGGACUUGGGGGUUUGCCCUGUACGGGGCAAGUCCCCGUAGCUAACGCGUUAAGUCCUG